GUAGAAAAGAAAAGAAAAAUAAAAUAAAAGAAAAUACCUAAUUAUGACACCAUAUGAUCUCAUUAAAAACCUAGUUCUAAAAAUUUUAAAUAUUACAAAAUUAUUGUAAACAACUUAGAAAGUAUCAAGGAAGUGAUAAAAAGACUAGUAGAAGAAUUAUAACUUAAAUAACUUAACAAACGUAAUUUUCAUUAGAAUAUAAGUAUAAGUAUAAAUUUUAGAUUUAUUUGUACAUUAUAUAAAUGAUUGUUGUAAACUUAUGAAAGAAGUGAUUCUAGAGAGCAACAUAAAUGACGAAAGAUAUAUUAUAUGGAAAAUUUCACAUGAACCCAGUAAAAUUCUUAAGUAUAGAAAAUAUGCUCCAAUUAUUUUUACUUGUUAUAUUUUUUCCUUGUCAUAUUACUUGUUAUAAAUGAGUACAGAACUGUUUGAGGAUAUGAUUGAGACUAAGGAGAAAGUGAAGUAGGAU
rnacentral:misc_RNA from 1 species